rnacentral:rRNA from 1 species
UACGGAGGGGGCUAGCGUUGUUCGGAAUUACUGGGCGUAAAGCGUACGUAGGCGGCUUUGUAAGUUAGAGGUGAAAGCCCGGGGCUCAACUCCGGAAUUGCCUUUAAGACUGCAUCGCUCGAAUUGUGGAGAGGUAAGUGGAAUUCCGAGUGUAGAGGUGAAAUUCGUAGAUAUUCGGAAGAACACCAGUGGCGAAGGCGACUUACUGGACACAUAUUGACGCUGAGGUGCGAAAGCGUGGGGAGCAAACAGG